ACCUGGGUGGCUCAGUUGGUUGAGCGUCCGACUUCGGCUCAGGUCAUGAUCUCACAGUUUGUGGGUCCGAACCCCACAUCAGGCU
rnacentral:tRNA from 1 species